GACAGAGGGUGCAACCGUUGUUCGGAAUUACUGGGCGUAAAGCGCGUGUAGGCUGCUCGGAAAGUCGGAUGUGAAAGCCCUGGGCUCAACCUAGGAAGUGCAUUCGAAACUCCCGAGCUGGAGUCCUGGAGAGGAAGGCGGAAUUCUCGGUGUAGAGGUGAAAUUCGUAGAUAUCGAGAGGAACACCGGUGGCGAAGGCGGCCUUCUGGACAGUGACUGACGCUGAGACGCGAAAGCGUGGGGAGCAAACAGG
rnacentral:rRNA from 1 species